GAGGGUAUAGCUCAGUAGUUAGAGAGCAUGCUUAGCAUGCAUGAGGUCCUCGGUUCAAUACCCAGUACCUCCA
rnacentral:tRNA from 1 species